AGGAGUGUAGCUCAGCUGGUAGAGCAUCGGUCUCCAAAACUGAGGGUCGCGGGUUCGAAUCCUGCUGCCCCUGCCA
rnacentral:tRNA from 1 species